rnacentral:rRNA from 1 species
UACGUAGGGGGCUAGCGUUGUCCGGAAUUACUGGGUGUAAAGGGCGUGUAGGCGGGAUAUUAAGUCAGAUGUGAAAGGCCGAGGCUCAACCUCGGGACUGCAUCUGAAACUAGUAUUCUUGAGUGCAGGAGAGGAAAGCGGAAUUCCAAGUGUAGCGGUGAAAUGCGUAGAUAUUUGGAGGAACACCAGUGGCGAAGGCGGCUUUCUGGACUGUAACUGACGCUGAGGCGCGAAAGCGUGGGGAGCAAACAGGAUUAGAUACCCCUGUAGU